UACGUAGGGGGCGAGCGUUGUCCGGAUUUAUUGGGCGUAAAGCGCGCGUAGGCGGCGCGGUAUGUCGUGCGUGAAAUCUCCCGGCUUAACUGGGAGGGGCCGUGCGAAACUGCCGGGCUUGAGGUCGGAAGGGGAAAGUGGAAUUCCGGGUGUAGUGGUGGAAUACGUAGAUAUCCGGAGGAACACCAGCGGCGAAGGCGGCUUUCUGGUCCGAUACUGACGCUGAGGUGCGAAAGCGUGGGGAGCGAUCCGG
rnacentral:rRNA from 1 species